CUUCUCUGGGCUGUCUGGGAAAGCCAGCCUCCGCUAGUGACUGUGAUGCAAGCCAAGACUGUAGAGGGGACUUAAAGGGAAGAACAAUUUCAACAAGAGAGUACCUCAGCCUUGAGUGACUUAGCUUGGGCACUCCCAGCAUUUGUUCUUCUGUGGUGACUGCUUUUGGAGCCAAGUCUAGAGUCUUUUCCUCUGGAUGCCAUUUGGCUCUCUAUCUUAUAUCCUCCAGGAGAAGUUGUCCCCAAACUGUUUCUCAAACUCAACUCUAAGUGGGUGUGCUAGAACUGCAAACAUCUGUCAGCUCUCUUCCCAUUUGGUUCAGCGUGUGGGUGCAGCUCUGGAAGGGCUCAGCAUGGUAACCGAAGUUCUAACGUCCCAGAUGGAUGAUCAAAAAGCACAGCCCCAGAGAUCUGGAGGAGACUCCAGACAGCAUGGGGAGUCAAGUAAGAUCCCGAAUCUCAUCCACAGCAGCCAAGGAUGUCUAGGGGACAACUCAGAGGCAUAAGAAGAACAGGACAAAAGUCUCAAAUGUCUAAAGGUUUGUGCCCGGAGAAAUGCAGUCAGCGAAUCUCCUUUACAACGCCAGGCUGAUGGUGGCCAGAUGUCAAUCUGGGUGUUUCUCUAUUUUACUGCUGUUAUAUUAUCUUUAAACUACUGAACAAUGGUUUGUAAUGAGACUCCUAAUAUACAGUAGUCAAAAUCAUCAAGUUACAGAGUCUGGAAAAGCCCAUCUUGAAAGUAUUUUCAAUACUUUCUACCCUUUUCAGAAACCCAUUCAUUUAUCUCAGUAUCUCAUAGUUAUAGGGCCCUACGUUCACACUCUGAACAAAUAAAAAGAACUUCUGGGGAAAAUA